CCUCCCCCGUUCAUGCUCUGUCUCUCUCUGUCCCAAAAAUAAAUAAACGUUGAAAAAAAAAAUUAAAAAAAAAAAAAAGAAGAUACCUCUUUAUAACUGUUAGCAACAAUGCUAACAUUGCUAACAUUAAUGUCUUAUAUACACAGGAGUAAGUAAUACUUUUUAAAAUAAAUAAAUUACUGUAUAAAAUAUUUAAUGUUAUAGAACUAUCCUCAAUUGCCUCCCAGAGACCUAGACCCAGUCAAUGUUUUCCCAAAUUAGAAAUGGUUGGGACCUGAGAGGUAAACCCUCUAACUCUCUUAUUUUACAGUUGAGAAAAUGGAGAUGAGAGAAAAUAGGCUUUCUUCUCUUUUCUGGCUCAUGUCAAAUGUUUAUUGCCCAGUGCCCUCCAAGUUCACAAAUCAUUGACAACACAGCAGAACUGUGAAGAAAACUGCUGAGCCAUGGACAUGAAUUCAGAACACUCAAGCUUGAACCCACUUCUAUGCGUACUGAAGCUGCAGUACUACAGGAAUGGCCCAGAAGGAAGGAGCCCAGAGCAACAGAACCCUGUAUGGAGGAGAGGCUUCAGCAGUGCUGGUGGUGAAUGGUUGUGACCUGGAGUGAGAAGAUCCAUAGAGGAGCCAUCAUUAUGCUUUUUUUUUUUAACAGAAGCAAUGUGAGAGCAUGUGAUUCCCCAGGGAAAGUGUGUGUGUGUGUGUGUGUGUGUGUGUGUGUGUGUGUGUGAAAUGAGCCAAAUAAAGGUCUGCAAGGAACACCAGUGUUUAAAGCUAAAGGAAGAAAAGUUGCUAGAAGGGAGACUGACCGGGAACAAGCAGAGAGAGAAAAGGAAGACAGAAGCACAGAAGCAACCAAGGAAGCAGAGAGAAGAAUGUUCUUGUUAUUCUUAGUGCCUGAUACUUGGUAGAUAUACAGAUACUUGCAGAAUAAAUGAAUGAA